AUUUUUACUGAGCUGGAACCUUGUUUGUGGUUUCCCUCCAGCCAAGGACCUCAUCCAGCUCCUUCCAAAGGAGGCUGUUACCCUUGAGCUACCCUAAACCAGCGGAACUCAGAGGUUCCUGCUCACCUGGGCUGCAGCCAGGACCUUCAACGUGGAGAGAUUUUUUCACAGUGAUGAUCUUAAAUAGGGAUCAGCUGUGCCAGAAGAGGGAUUUUUUUUUUAACCCAUGCUGGAGCUCAGCCUGCAGCAGCUCUGUCCCUGCUGCCUCUCAUGGAUGCACUGACUGGGUGUCCUGGAUGUGCAGAACCUUUCCACCUCCUGGAGCUCUCCAACCUUUGCUCUGUACCUGUGCAGCUUUACCACAAGCAGCUGACAGUCUCAACAGGAGGAUGUGAUUUUGCCCAAUAUUUGAAUUUGCUCCAACAUCCCUACCACCGAAGUGCUCCUGAUCCAGAGGUGCUGCUGCAUCCAGAGGGACACGGCUGGCUCAUGGACCAGAGUGUGGCUGCCAUGGCAACAGCCUGAAAUUAGGAAUCAAUUAGAGCUGAAAAAAGUGCUAUCACUUCAGCAGACUAAAUGCUUUCCCCUAUCUCCUCAGUCUCUGUAGCUUCUCCAUUUUGACUCGCAGGUAAUUGAAGUUUUAAUUUGUUGCCGUGUAUCAGGUUAAUGAAAGGAGCUGGAAAUGGAGCUGAAUUCCCUGGUGCCCCCAGAGUGAGUGUGAGAGGAGCAGGGCCCUCCCCGUGUGCCUGAAUCCCUGCAAAACACAGCCUCGAGGGCUGACUUUGGGACUGAACCUGGGAAAAUGCUCAUUAUCAGGCAGGGAAGGGGCAUCCAGGGCCUGCUAAUGGCUCAGUCACUCUGCAGAACAAUUUGGGAUUAAAAAAAAACCAAAAAAGGAGUUUUCUAUUUCUGCUGAUUUCAGGAAAGGGAGAGUGUGCUGAGCAGUGACAAUAAUUGGCUGUAAGCAGGCAGUGUUUGCUUUAUGAACUGUCUGGGAGUGGGAUGUGGAACACAGCUCUGGAGCAGUCCCUGCUCAUCCUUUCCAGGUUAAUAAACCCUCUGGCACAGGCUCCUGCUUCAAAGAGCAGCUUGAAACUGCUCCAGGAGCUUGGAUGGCCCUGCAGGUGCUCAGGGCACAUCCAGGUGGGAUUGUGGCACUCAGAUCUCAGCCAAAACUUGCUCCUUGCUGGCCUCUUUAUUUGGCAUUCAGAUCGGGAUUGUCACCUGCCCAGGGAGAUCGAGUUCCGCUGAAAAUCAAUGGGAUUUUCACACUUCUAAUGACUGAAGCACUCAGAAAUGCCAUCUUUAGGGCUCUAAAUGAGUCUCUCAUUUCCAGGAGUACUCAGUGGCUGUGGUUGGGUUUUGCAGCUCCUCAAUUCCACCUGGGCCUGUCUGACUCUGCUCCAUAAAGGUGAGGAGGGUUCUGGGAGCUGUGCUCAGGGCACACCUUGGGGGGUUAAAUCACAUUUUUAAAACACUUGAUACCAACCUACAGCAUAGAGGUGAAGCUCUGUGUUAUUCCCUCAUCCCUCUUUGUCAAGGCCUCAAU